rnacentral:rRNA from 1 species
GGGUUGUGAGGUUAAGCGACUAAGCGUACACGGUGGAUGCCCUGGCAGUCAGAGGCGAUGAAGGACGUGCUAAUCUGCGAUAAGCGUCGGUAAGGUGAUAUGAACCGUUAUAACCGGCGAUUUCCGAAUGGGGAAACCCAGUGUGUUUCGACACACUAUCAUUAACUGAAUCCAUAGGUUAAUGAGGCGAACCGGGGGAACUGAAACAUCUAAGUACCCCGAGGAAAAGAAAUCAACCGAGAUUCCCCCAGUAGCGGCGAGCGAACGGGGAGGAGCCCAGAGCCUGAAUCAGUGUGUGUGUUAGUGGAAGCGUCUGGAAAGGCGCGCGAUACAGGGUGACAGCCCCGUACACAAAAAUGCACAUACUGUGAGCUCGAUGAGUAGGGCGGGACACGUGGUAUCCUGUCUGAAUAUGGGGGGACCAUCCUCCAAGGCUAAAUACUCCUGACUGACCGAUAGUGAACCAGUACCGUGAGGGAAAGGCGAAAAGAACCCCGGCGAGGGGAGUGAAAAAGAACCUGAAACCGUGUACGUACAAGCAGUGGGAGCCUCUUUUAUGGGGUGACUGCGUACCUUUUGUAUAAUGGGUCAGCGACUUAUAUUCUGUAGCAAGGUUAACCGAAUAGGGGAGCCGAAGGGAAACCGAGUCUUAACUGGGCGUUAAGUUGCAGGGUAUAGACCCGAAACCCGGUGAUCUAGCCAUGGGCAGGUUGAAGGUUGGGUAACACUAACUGGAGGACCGAACCGACUAAUGUUGAAAAAUUAGCGGAUGACUUGUGGCUGGGGGUGAAAGGCCAAUCAAACCGGGAGAUAGCUGGUUCUCCCCGAAAGCUAUUUAGGUAGCGCCUCGUGAAUUCAUCUCCGGGGGUAGAGCACUGUUUCGGCAAGGGGGUCAUCCCGACUUACCAACCCGAUGCAAACUGCGAAUACCGGAGAAUGUUAUCACGGGAGACACACGGCGGGUGCUAACGUCCGUCGUGAAGAGGGAAACAACCCAGACCGCCAGCUAAGGUCCCAAAGUCAUGGUUAAGUGGGAAACGAUGUGGGAAGGCCCAGACAGCCAGGAUGUUGGCUUAGAAGCAGCCAUCAUUUAAAGAAAGCGUAAUAGCUCACUGGUCGAGUCGGCCUGCGCGGAAGAUGUAACGGGGCUAAACCAUGCACCGAAGCUGCGGCAGCGACACUGUGUGUUGUUGGGUAGGGGAGCGUUCUGUAAGCCUGUGAAGGUGUACUGUGAGGUAUGCUGGAGGUAUCAGAAGUGCGAAUGCUGACAUAAGUAACGAUAAAGCGGGUGAAAAGCCCGCUCGCCGGAAGACCAAGGGUUCCUGUCCAACGUUAAUCGGGGCAGGGUGAGUCGACCCCUAAGGCGAGGCCGAAAGGCGUAGUCGAUGGGAAACAGGUUAAUAUUCCUGUACUUGGUGUUACUGCGAAGGGGGGACGGAGAAGGCUAUGUUGGCCGGGCGACGGUUGUCCCGGUUUAAGCGUGUAGGCUGGUUUUCCAGGCAAAUCCGGAAAAUCAAGGCUGAGGCGUGAUGACGAGGCACUACGGUGCUGAAGCAACAAAUGCCCUGCUUCCAGGAAAAGCCUCUAAGCAUCAGGUAACAUCAAAUCGUACCCCAAACCGACACAGGUGGUCAGGUAGAGAAUACCAAGGCGCUUGAGAGAACUCGGGUGAAGGAACUAGGCAAAAUGGUGCCGUAACUUCGGGAGAAGGCACGCUGAUAUGUAGGUGAAGCGACUUGCUCGUGGAGCUGAAAUCAGUCGAAGAUACCAGCUGGCUGCAACUGUUUAUUAAAAACACAGCACUGUGCAAACACGAAAGUGGACGUAUACGGUGUGACGCCUGCCCGGUGCCGGAAGGUUAAUUGAUGGGGUCAGCGCAAGCGAAGCUCUUGAUCGAAGCCCCGGUAAACGGCGGCCGUAACUAUAACGGUCCUAAGGUAGCGAAAUUCCUUGUCGGGUAAGUUCCGACCUGCACGAAUGGCGUAAUGAUGGCCAGGCUGUCUCCACCCGAGACUCAGUGAAAUUGAACUCGCUGUGAAGAUGCAGUGUACCCGCGGCAAGACGGAAAGACCCCGUGAACCUUUACUAUAGCUUGACACUGAACAUUGAGCCUUGAUGUGUAGGAUAGGUGGGAGGCUUUGAAGUGUGGACGCCAGUCUGCAUGGAGCCGACCUUGAAAUACCACCCUUUAAUGUUUGAUGUUCUAACGUGGACCCGUGAUCCGGGUUGCGGACAGUGUCUGGUGGGUAGUUUGACUGGGGCGGUCUCCUCCUAAAGAGUAACGGAGGAGCACGAAGGUUGGCUAAUCCUGGUCGGACAUCAGGAGGUUAGUGCAAUGGCAUAAGCCAGCUUGACUGCGAGCGUGACGGCGCGAGCAGGUGCGAAAGCAGGUCAUAGUGAUCCGGUGGUUCUGAAUGGAAGGGCCAUCGCUCAACGGAUAAAAGGUACUCCGGGGAUAACAGGCUGAUACCGCCCAAGAGUUCAUAUCGACGGCGGUGUUUGGCACCUCGAUGUCGGCUCAUCACAUCCUGGGGCUGAAGUAGGUCCCAAGGGUAUGGCUGUUCGCCAUUUAAAGUGGUACGCGAGCUGGGUUUAGAACGUCGUGAGACAGUUCGGUCCCUAUCUGCCGUGGGCGCUGGAGAACUGAGGGGGGCUGCUCCUAGUACGAGAGGACCGGAGUGGACGCAUCACUGGUGUUCGGGUUGUCAUGCCAAUGGCACUGCCCGGUAGCUAAAUGCGGAAGAGAUAAGUGCUGAAAGCAUCUAAGCACGAAACUUGCCCCGAGAUGAGUUCUCCCUGAC